GGCAGCAGGAACCUGCAUUCUUAAGGUUCCUAGCUAAAUUAACCAAGGUGGAGCAAAAGGCUCCUCCCCCAAGAAAUCAAGCUCUGGGAUUGGAGUUUGGGCUCAGCCUCCAGAUGGAGCCGGAAUUUACCUUUGUACUCCAGGCGGCCUGGGUUGGUGGUGCCUGGUUGGGUGUGUCCAGAACUGGCUGCCUUCCUGACACGUCUCAGAGCUGCUGGCAGGUUUGAAUCCAGGAUCAUUAAUGGCCCUGCUUACUGUCCCAUUCUCUCUUCUCCAGAUUUCUUACUCCCCCCAACCCCACUCGGGCCCUUCCCACAGAUGACUGUGCUUCUUGUAAAUCCU
rnacentral:lncRNA from 1 species